GACGAAGGGGGCUAGCGUUGUUCGGAAUUACUGGGCGUAAAGCGCGUGUAGGCGGUUGUCCAAGUCGGGUGUGAAAGCCUUGAGCUCAACUCAAGAAAUGCACUCGAUACUGGGUGACUUGAGGACCGGAGAGGAUAGUGGAAUUCCCAGUGUAGCGGUGAAAUGCGUAGAUAUGCGGAGGAACACCGAUGGCGAAGGCAAUCCCCUGGGCCUGCACUGACGCUCAUGCACGAAAGCGUGGGGAGCAAACAGG
rnacentral:rRNA from 1 species